CACUGUGGUACACGUUCGGUGGAGGAACCAGACUGGAGUUUGGAAGUGAUACCCGGCCCACUCUGACAGUGCUGCCCCCCUCCAGUGAGGAGCUGCAGAAAGGGACAAUCACCUUCAUGUGUCUGGCCAACAAGGGCUUCCCCUCAGACUGGACUCUAUCCUGGAAGCUGGACGGCAGCAGAAGCAGCAGCAGCAGCUGGGAGGAGAGCAGGAGCUCCGGGGUGCUGCAGAAUGACGGCCUCUAUAGCUGGAGCAGCACCCUGAGGCUCCCUGCAGACCAGUGGAGGAAGGUGGGCUCUGUGAGCUGUGAGGCCUCCCAGGGCUCCCAGUGUGCAGUAACAGAGACCAUCAAGAGAGACCAGUGUCUCUAAAUUGAAUGUGUAGCUGAUUUUACCUUUGCUUUCAUGUUUUCUUAUUACCAGCUUCUCUGUUUCAUUCUGAAUGUGCUUGAUAUUGUUUUAAAGUGGACUGAUUCAAUUUUAUAAACAAUAAAAGUUUCACAAAUGC